rnacentral:rRNA from 1 species
CGGGGCUUAAUGUCUUGUAAUUGGAAUGAUGGGAAUUUAAACCUCUUCCAGAGUAUCAAUUGGAGGGCAAGUCUGGUGCCAGCAGCCGCGGUAAUUCCAGCUCCAAUAGCGUAUAUUAAAUUUGUUGCAGUUAAAAAGCUCGUAGUUGAAUUUCUGCUGCAUUACAUUUCUCUUGUUUGAGUAUGUUAUUGUGGCUUAUUUCGGAUUGAUUUUUAUCAUUCCGGAUGAUUACUUUGAGAAAAUUAGAGUGCUCAAAGCAGGCUUUUGCCUUGAAUAGUUUAGCAUGGAAUAAUAGAGUAGGACUUCGGUUCUAUUUUGUUGGUUUGCGCACCUGGGUAAUGAUUAAUAGAGGCAGGCGGGGCUAUUCGUAUUGCAUUGUCAGAGGUGAAAUUCUUGGAUUUCUGCAAGACGAACUACUGCGAAAGCAUUUAGCAAGGAUGUUUUCAUUAAUCAAGAAC